UACAGAGGGUGCGAGCGUUAAUCGGAAUUACUGGGCGUAAAGCGUGCGUAGACGGUUAUUUAAGUCAGAUGUGAAAGCCCCGGGCUCAACCUGGGAAUUGCAUUUGAGACUGAAUAGCUAGGGUACGGUAGAGGGAAGCGGAAUUUCCGGUGUAGCGGUGAAAUGCGUAGAUAUCGGAAGAAACAUCAGUGGCGAAAGCGGCUUCCUGGACCAGUACCGACGUUCAGGCACGAAAGCGUGGGGAGCAAACAGG
rnacentral:rRNA from 1 species